rnacentral:rRNA from 1 species
CCUACGGGAGGCAGCAGUGGGGAAUUUUGCGCAAUGGGGGAAACCCUGACGCAGCAACGCCGCGUGAGUGAUGAAGGCCUUCGGGUCGUAAAGCUCUGUCAGAGGGGAAGAAGUGUAAGGCGGUUAAUACCCGCUCUACUUGACGGUACCCUCAAAGGAAGCACCGGCUAACUCCGUGCCAGCAGCCGCGGUAAU